UACGAAGGGGGCUAGCGUUGCUCGGAUUGACUGGGCGUAAAGGGCGCGUAGGCGGCUUGUACAGUCAGACGUGAAAUUCCUGGGCUCAACCUGGGGGCUGCGUUUGAUACGUAUGGGCUUGAGUUCGGAAGAGGGUCGUGGAAUUCCCAGUGUAGAGGUGAAAUUCGUAGAUAUUGGGAAGAACACCGGUGGCGAAGGCGGUCUGCUGGGGUAAUGCUGACACUGAGGCGCGACAGCGUGGGGAGCAAACAGG
rnacentral:rRNA from 1 species